AGUGAACGCUGGCGGUAGGCCUAACACAUGCAAGUCGAACGGCAGCACAGUAAGAGCUUGCUCUUACGGGUGGCGAGUGGCGGACGGGUGAGGCAUACAUCGGAAUCUACUUUUUCGUGGGGGAUAACGUAGGGAAACUUACGCUAAUACCGCAUACGACCUACGGGUGAAAGCAGUGGAUCUUCGGACCUUGCGCGAUUGAAUGAGCCGAUGUCGGAUUAGCUAGUUGGCGGGGUAAAGGCCCACCAAGGCGACGAUCCGUAGCUGGUCUGAGAGGAUGAUCAGCCACACUGGAACUGAGACACGGUCCAGACUCCUACGGGAGGCAGCAGUGGGGAAUAUUGGACAAAGGGCGCAAGCCUGAUCCAGCCAUACCGCGUGGGUGAAGAAGGCCUUCGGGUUGUAAAGCCCUUUUGUUGGGAAAGAAAAGCAGCAGGUUAAUACCCCGCUGUUCUGACGGUACCCAAAGAAUAAGCACCGGCUAACUUCGUG
rnacentral:rRNA from 1 species